UUAUUUUUGCCUCAUUAUUUUAAACUUUUAUACCCUUACUACACUUGGCUCCAUGGGAAUACUCUGUGGAAGGAGAUAGCCCAUGAAGAAGCCUCUUUCAUUGCUUACCACAUCCACACAACUUAGAACAACACCCAGACAUAGAAUUUAAUAAGUAAGCAUUGUUGAGGGAUAGAACUGGAGGAAUAAAGACAAGAUGAGAAAGGAAAGAAGAAGGAAAUCAUGGGCUUUAGAGUCAGAAGAUAGAGAUAAGAUACACAUCCCUCUCCCCAAAUUACUACUGGCUGGGCUUCCUUACAUGCCAAACUUAUUUCCCAGGGCUUUGUUUCAAUUUUGAUGUAGAUAAAACUAGGCUAGGAAAUCCUCUCCUAUUAUUACCACAACUGGUCAAAAUGCAGAGAAUAAGUUACUGUGAAAUAACUUAUUCUUAACCCCAAACGGGAUAUCUAUAACACAGCCCAUGCACCCAUGGCUCAGGACACAUCAUGGAAGAUGGGGAGGAAGAUUGUAAAAGCCAGAAGCCCAGGAGGACUGUUGGGAGACAGUGUCUUCUGCACAGCACAGGAUGUUGCUCCCACAAACUCUUAAAGCUAUAGUUACUUACACAAGAGUCACAGAGCACACAAAUCAAUAGUCUGGCAUAAAUGAGGGAAGGGCGUACAAGGCCCCACUCUUGGCUGUUGAUGGCUGCUGGAGAAGGGAGAGUCACUUUUCUUUGGGAGGUGCUACUGGUAGAUUGCCCAUGACUCAGUGGGUGGCCCCACACCAAUGCACUAAUUGGACUCACUGGGUUAUGGUUUCGACAUUUAAAAAUUAAGAAGGGAUUUAUUCCUUAUCUGAUAGUGUUAGGAUCAAAUGAGGUGAUGUUUCUAAAAGUGAAUGAAGCUAUCACCAUGGGAUGCCAUUAUGAUGAUUAGAAAAACUGCGUCUGUGAAGAUAGGUUCCACCUGACUUUUUUUUAUUCAGCAUAGCUCAUCGUUUGAAGGACAGGGGAAGAUGUUACAAUUUUCACUGUUUUCAUUCAAGACUUGUUCAGCUCCAGUAGCUGCCAACCCUGGAAUCUGCUAGCAUGCAUCUUGGUGUUAAGGAAUGCAGACAGCCGUGGAGCAGACACGACAAGAUAACACACACCUUAUUCUUCCUGGUUCCUGGAGCGGGAAGGCGAAGCCAGAGGCCAACAAAUGCAAUCAUUCCAGGCAGCUUUGGAGCAAGACUAUGGAUGUGACAUGACCAGCUACUUUCUGUUCCGGAUUUGACCUUCCCAAAAUGAUGGUCAUGACCUGAAAUUUUGGAGCCCAAAGGCUUGAAGACUAGUGCGUUUAUGCUUCCCAGAAGUAUCACUGCUGGAGAAUGAAUAGGGAAUGAAGAGGGCCUCAGAGUUGGCACAGGACACACCUUGACACCAAAUUCUCUACACAAAGGAGAUGUAUUACCCAGGGGGACAGGCAGAUGGAGGACUGCCUCUUGAUCAGACAAAGACAGCAGAAGGUGCUCUUCAAAAGUGCAUUUUAAGGAGAAAAAGGGGAAAUCUAUGCAAGGAUGAGUUGCUUAUAUAAGCCACAAGGGUGGCUGAAAGACCCUCUCAGACACGCUGAGCUACCUGGAAGAGACACAGAUCAACUGAGGUACCUGGGAAAGCCACUCUCCAACCCUCUGAGCUGCAAUAAACUCCAGCUUUCUCUUUUA